rnacentral:rRNA from 1 species
CCUACGGGAGGCAGCAGUGAGGAAUAUUGGUCAAUGGACGAGAGUCUGAACCAGCCAAGUAGCGUGAAGGAUGACUGCCCUAUGGGUUGUAAACUUCUUUUAUAUGGGAAUAAAACGUUCCACGUGUGGGAUUUUGUAUGUACCAUAUGAAUAAGGAUCGGCUAACCCCGUGCCAGCAGCCGCGGUAAUACGGAGGAUCCGAGCGUUAUCCGGAUUUAUUGGGUUUAAAGGGAGCGUAGGUGGAUUGUUAAGUCAGUUGUGAAAGUUUGCGGCUCAACCGUAAAAUUGCAGUUGAAACUGGCAGUCUUGAGUACAGGAGAGGUGGGCGGAAUUCGUGGUGUAGCGGUGAAAUGCUUAGAUAUCACGAAGAACUCCGAUUGCGAAGGCAGUUCACUGGACUGCAACUGACACUGAGGCUCGAAAGUGUGGGUAUCAAACAGGAUUAGAUACCCCUGUAGUC